UACGUAGGGAGCAAGCGUUGUCCGGAAUCAUUGGGCGUAAAGCGCGCGUAGGUGGCCACAUAAGUCCGUUGUGAAAGUCAAAGGCUCAACCUUUGAAAGCCGAUGGAUACUGUGUGGCUAGAGUACGGAAGAGGCGAGUGGAAUUCCUGGUGUAGCGGUGAAAUGCGCAGAUAUCAGGAGGAACACCAAUUGCGAAGGCAGCUCGCUGGGACGUAACUGACGCUGAGACGCGAAAGCGUGGGGAGCAAACAGG
rnacentral:rRNA from 1 species